rnacentral:rRNA from 1 species
AACGAACGCUGGCGGCAUGCCUAACACAUGCAAGUCGAACGAAACCUUCGGGUCUAGUGGCGCACGGGUGCGUCACGCGUGGGAACCUGCCCUUAGGUUCGGAAUACCUCCCCGACAGGGGUGCUAAUACCGGAUAAUGUCUUCGGACCAAAGAUUUAUCGCCUUUGGAUGGGCCCGCGUUGGAUUAGCUAGUUGGUAGGGUAAAAGCCUACCAAGGCGACGAUCCAUAGCUGGUCUGUGAGGAUGAUCAGCCACACUGGGACUGGGACACGGCCCAGAAUCCUACGCGAGGCAGCAGUGGGGGAUGGUGGAAAAUGGGGGGAAGCCUGAACCAGCUAGGCCGGGUGAGUGAUGAAGGCCUUAGGGUUGUAAAGCGCUUUUACCCGGGAUGAUAAUGACAGUACCGGGAGAAUAAGCUCCGGCUAACUCCGUG